rnacentral:rRNA from 1 species
UAAUGCGUUGGGAAUCUAGCUUAUGGAGGGGGAUAACUACGGGAAACUGUAGCUAAUACCGCGUAGAAGUCGGGAGAUGAAAGUGUGGGACCUUCGGGCCACAUGCCAUAGGAUGAGCCCAAGUGGGAUUAGGUAGUUGGUGAGGUAAAGGCUCACCAAGCCGACGAUCUCUAGCUGGUCUGAGAGGAUGACCAGCCACACUGGGACUGAGACACGGCCCAG